CAUUCCGAACCCGGAAGUUAAGCUUCUCUGCGCCGAUGGUACUGCACUCGGGAGGGUGUGGGAGAGUAGGUCGCCGCCGGAC
rnacentral:rRNA from 1 species